rfam:Ovis aries breed Texel chromosome 1, whole genome shotgun sequence.
UCUCUGGUGGUCCAGUGGUUAAGACUAUGCACUCCUAAUGCAGAGGUCCCAGGUUCGAAUCCUGGUCAGGGAA